rnacentral:rRNA from 1 species
GUUCUCCCCGAAAGCUAUUUAGGUAGCGCCUCGUGAAUUCAUCUCCGGGGGUAGAGCACUGUUUCGGCAAGGGGGUCAUCCCGACUUACCAACCCGAUGCAAACUGCGAAUACCGGAGAAUGUUAUCACGGGAGACACACGGCGGGUGCUAACGUCCGUCGUGAAGAGGGAAACAACCCAGACCGCCAGCUAAGGUCCCAAAGUCAUGGUUAAGUGGGAAACGAUGUGGGAAGGCCCAGACAGCCAGGAUGUUGGCUUAGAAGCAGCCAUCAUUUAAAGAAAGCGUAAUAGCUCACUGGUCGAGUCGGCCUGCGCGGAAGAUGUAACGGGGCUAAACCAUGCACCGAAGCUGCGGCAGCGACGCUUAUGCGUUGUUGGGUAGGGGAGCGUUCUGUAAGCCUGUGAAGGUGUGUUGUGAGGCAUGCUGGAGGUAUCAGAAGUGCGAAUGCUGACAUAAGUAACGAUAAAGCGGGUGAAAAGCCCGCUCGCCGGAAGACCAAGGGUUCCUGUCCAACGUUAAUCGGGGCAGGGUGAGUCGACCCCUAAGGCGAGGCCGAAAGGCGUAGUCGAUGGGAAACAGGUUAAUAUUCCUGUACUUGGUGUUACUGCGAAGGGGGGACGGAGAAGGCUAUGUUGGCCGGGCGACGGUUGUCCCGGUUUAAGCGUGUAGGCUGGUUUUCCAGGCAAAUCCGGAAAAUCAAGGCUGAGGCGUGAUGACGAGGCACUACGGUGCUGAAGCAACAAAUGCCCUGCUUCCAGGAAAAGCCUCUAAGCAUCAGGUAACAUCAAAUCGUACCCCAAACCGACACAGGUGGUCAGGUAGAGAAUACCAAGGCGCUUGAGAGAACUCGGGUGAAGGAACUAGGCAAAAUGGUGCCGUAACUUCGGGAGAAGGCACGCUGAUAUGUAGGUGAAGUCCCUCGCGGAUGGAGCUGAAAUCAGUCGAAGAUACCAGCUGGCUGCAACUGUUUAUUAAAAACACAGCACUGUGCAAACACGAAAGUGGACGUAUACGGUGUGACGCCUGCCCGGUGCCGGAAGGUUAAUUGAUGGGGUCAGCGCAAGCGAAGCUCUUGAUCGAAGCCCCGGUAAACGGCGGCCGUAACUAUAACGGUCCUAAGGUAGCGAAAUUCCUUGUCGGGUAAGUUCCGACCUGCACGAAUGGCGUAAUGAUGGCCAGGCUGUCUCCACCCGAGACUCAGUGAAAUUGAACUCGCUGUGAAGAUGCAGUGUACCCGCGGCAAGACGGAAAGACCCCGUGAACCUUUACUAUAGCUUGACACUGAACAUUGAGCCUUGAUGUGUAGGAUAGGUGGGAGGCUUAGAAGUGUGGACGCCAGUCUGCAUGGAGCCGACCUUGAAAUACCACCCUUUAAUGUUUGAUGUUCUAACGUUGACCCGUAAUCCGGGUUGCGGACAGUGUCUGGUGGGUAGUUUGACUGGGGCGGUCUCCUCCUAAAGAGUAACGGAGGAGCACGAAGGUUGGCUAAUCCUGGUCGGACAUCAGGAGGUUAGUGCAAUGGCAUAAGCCAGCUUGACUGCGAGCGUGACGGCGCGAGCAGGUGCGAAAGCAGGUCAUAGUGAUCCGGUGGUUCUGAAUGGAAGGGCCAUCGCUCAACGGAUAAAAGGUACUCCGGGGAUAACAGGCUGAUACCGCCCAAGAGUUCAUAUCGACGGCGGUGUUUGGCACCUCGAUGUCGGCUCAUCACAUCCUGGGGCUGAAGUAGGUCCCAAGGGUAUGGCUGUUCGCCAUUUAAAGUGGUACGCGAGCUGGGUUUAGAACGUCGUGAGACAGUUCGGUCCCUAUCUGCCGUGGGCGCUGGAGAACUGAGGGGGGCUGCUCCUAGUACGAGAGGACCGGAGUGGACGCAUCACUGGUGUUCGGGUUGUCAUGCCAAUGGCACUGCCCGGUAGCUAAAUGCGGAAGAGAUAAGUGCUGAAAGCAUCUAAGCACGAAACUUGCC